rnacentral:rRNA from 1 species
GACGAACGCUGGCGGCGUGCUUAACACAUGCAAGUCGUACGGUAAGGCCCUUUCGGGGGUACACGAGUGGCGAACGGGUGAGUAACACGUGAGUAACCUGCCCACAACUUUGGGAUAACGCUAGGAAACUGGUGCUAAUACUGGAUAUGUGCUCCUGCUGCAUGGUGGGGGUUGGAAAGCUCCGGCGGUUGUGGAUGGACUCGCGGCCUAUCAGCUUGUUGGUGGGGUAGUGGCCUACCAAGGCGGCGACGGGUAGCCGGCCUGAGAGGGUGACCGGCCACAUUGGGACUGAGAUACGGCCCAGACUCCUACGGGAGGCAGCAGUGGGGAAUAUUGCACAAUGGGCGCAAGCCUGAUGCAGCAACGCCGCGGGCGGGAUGACGGCCUUCGGGUUGUAAACCGCUUUCAGCAGGGACGAAGCUUUUUGUGACGGUGCCUGCAGAAGAAGCACCGGCUAACUACGUG